CACGGGGGGAGCAAGCGUUGUUCGGAAUUACUGGGCGUAAAGCGUGCGUAGGUGGUUUGUUAAGUCUGAUGUGAAAGCCCUGGGCUCAACCUGGGAAUUGCAUUGGAUACUGGCAGGCUAGAGUGCGGUAGAGGAUGGCGGAAUUCCCGGUGUAGCAGUGAAAUGCGUAGAGAUCGGGAGGAACAUCUGUGGCGAAGGCGGCCAUCUGGACCAGCACUGACACUGAGGCACGAAAGCGUGGGGAGCAAACAGG
rnacentral:rRNA from 1 species